CUCCGAAAGGCUUUUUUGUAUUAGAGUUCCCAGGUCAACAAAUGUCUUCGUAUACCAAAUGGAUACAAAUGGAGAAGAAUGACUGGCAAUGAGUCUUUUCUUUUAUGAUACUGAAUGAGAGAUCAUUAUACUUCUGUGAUGCUGAUCACGUUUUAUUUCUAAUUAGCUGAAAAAUUUGGUGCAUGUGUCUUUACAUCUUGGUGCAAAAACCAAACACUAAGAAAUCUAUGAGAAAUGGUAUAUCAAGCAAAUACAUUUGCUGGAGAUUCUUGGAGGGACAGAAGAGAAUCCUGUUAUUCAGCUCUGAAGGAUGGAAAGUGGAAUAGACUUAGCAGUCAGACUCUGCAUAAAAUCUUUCUGUUCAGUGCAGGAAAUGAAGCAGGGGUGUUCCUUCUUGCUGCAGCUGGCUUUAACUCAGGGCACUCCUGCUGGAGGCCAGAGCAUAGCUGUGGACCUGUGGCUUCUCUUUCUGUGAGCUCUGACAGAGGUGGGCUGCAGAAAGAAAAAUGA
rnacentral:lncRNA from 1 species